rnacentral:rRNA from 1 species
AGGUUCGAGGCGAUCAGAUACCGCCCUAGUUCUGACCGUAAACGAUGCCACCUGACGAUCCGCCAGGGUUACUACCAUGACUCGGCGGGCAGUCCCCGGGAAACCCAAGCCUUCGGGUUCCGGGGGAAGUAUGGUUGCAAAGCUGAAACUUAAAGGAAUUGACGGAAGGGCACCACCAGGAGUGGAGCCUGCGGCUUAAUUUGACUCAACACGGGGAACCUCACCCGGCCCGGACACCGCGAGGAUUGACAGAUUGAGAGCUCUUUCUCGAUUCGGUGGGUGGUGGUGCAUGGCCGUUCUUAGUUGGUGGAGCGAUUUGUCUGGUUAAUUCCGAUAACGAACGAGACUCUAGCCGGUUAAGUAGCCCGAGCGGUUUUUGAUCUUUGCCGUUCAUCCCCGUUCGACCUUUGCGUCGUCCCCUUUUUUUCGGGCCGUCUCCGUCGUUUUCCGUUUCUCUUGGUUUCCCGAUCGUCCGUCGUCCCGUCGAUUCGUUCGACGGGUGCCGACGGUUUUCGCGGUUUCCAGGGGGCGGGCGGCGGAACGGUGCGUUCGGGGGGGUAUACGCUCGGUCGUUUCGGGGUGAAAGCAUAACCGAAGGCCGCCGG